rnacentral:rRNA from 1 species
GACGAACGCUGGCGGCGUGCUUAACACAUGCAAGUCGAACGGAAAGGCCCUGCUUUUGUGGGGUGCUCGAGUGGCGAAAGGGUGAGUAACACGUGAGUAACCUGCCCUUGACUUUGGGAUAACUUCAGGAAACUGGGGGUAAUACCGGAUAGGAGCUCCUGCUGCAUGGUGGGGGUUGGAAAGUUUCGGCGGUUGGGGAUGGACUCGCGGCUUAUCAGCUUGUUGGUGGGGUAGUGGCUUACCAAGGCUUUGACGGGUAGCCGGCCUGAGAGGGUGACCGGCCACAUUGGGACUGAGAUACGGCCCAGACUCCUACGGGAGGCAGCAGUGGGGAAUAUUGCACAAUGGGCGGAAGCCUGAUGCAGCAACGCCGCGUGCGGGAUGACGGCCUUCGGGUUGUAAACCGCUUUCGCCUGUGACGAAGCGUGAGUGACGGUAAUGGGUAAAGAAGCACCGGCUAACUACGUG